CUCCCUGUCGUCUCCCCCGCUCCUCUCCCACACCGGAGCUCCCCUGCUCGGCUCCCCCGCGCGUAGCCGAAGCUCCUCCGCCCGACGCCUCCCCCGCAGGUUCCCUCUCCUUGUCCCCUCCCCCUUCCUCAUGGUGAUCCAAGGCGAGGAGAAGGCUCGAUUUUUCUUCUGACGGCGGCGGCCUUCUCUGAGUUCGAUUCUCUCCAAACCCUCAUCCUCGGUGCCAUGGCGGCGGCUGCCGUUUCCGGGUCCUCCUCCUCCUCGGUGCUGCGGUAGCAGCUCGCCUGCGGCGGCGGCAGGAGCGAGCAGCAGCAGUGGCCGCGCGAGUAUGCGGCGAAGGAGGUCACCUUUGGCGUCGGCGCGCACGCCGCCAUGCUGCGCCGGAAGCCCUGUAUCGCAUGCGUGGUCGGCGUUGCAACAGCCGCUUCUCCUUUGCCAUGGAUUUCUUCAGGGGUCGGAGGCCAACCACCACAUGGCAAUAGUCUGAAGACUGCAUUUGAAAUAUGCCUUCAGCAUAGUUAACUACCUUGCUAAACUUGUCAUGUUGUGUGUAGAUACUGCCCCCGUGCUUGGCAAACUUGUCAUGAGGCAUCCUUUUGUUGCCUUUCCUACUGUUGACAAGACCAGGGUGACCAUCAGGGAGCAGAAGGAGGUCACCGUCCAGCUAAUUAACUACACCAAGAGCGGGAAGAAGUUCUGGAACUUGUUUUACCUGCAGCCUAUGUGGGUUCAGAAGGUAGCGAAAUGUUAUUGAAAUGCUGAAUUUGUUUUGGAGCUUGCAGACUUUGAAGACAUGAGCUGCGAAAUGAUAUAUGGUCAGGUGCCCCCACCAGUGGAAGAAGAUCCAGUGUCGAAACAACCCUGCUAUCCCAGCCUCUGUUCCAUAUCGACGCCCUCCGCUGCAAUAUGUCCCAAAAUUCAGAACUAGUCUUCUGCAAGCGCUCACAAGGGUUUUGAUACAAAAUUGUGCAUGGUGCCAUGGUAUCGGAUAGGCCAGAAUUUCAACAGGGACAAUAGAUAGUGCAUCGGGCAGGGGCGCCGGUACCUUUCACGAGUAGCAGAGCCGGAGUCGUCUGGACGAAGAAGUAGAAGAUCGGGGGCUGCCUGUACGAAGAUCGGGAGCUGCACCACCACUAACAGAAGCAGCAGAGUCAGAGGAAGACGGCAACAGCAGAAGAGGACGGAGUGGCGGAAUACAGCGCGCCGUCAGCCGUGGAGCCGCCGCCCGUCGAGGUGCGCGCAGGUAAGCAGGGGCGGCGCAAAUUGGCAGCCGCGGCUCAGGUGGGCCUUCGUCGCCGGCUGAACACCACGGUGGCUGGGGCGUGCGGUGCAGCGGCGAGGGAGGUGGAAGAACCAGACGGUUGCUUCGAGUUGGAUUAGGAGCCGGGAAAGGAAAGAGUUGCAGUGUUGCCCGGCGAGGGUCUCAAACUCUCAAUUCAUGCUUAAUUAAGCUUUGGCGCGAAGCUUC